GGGCGAGUAGCUCAGCGGCUAGAGCAUCCGCCUUACACGCGGCAGGCCAGAGGUUCAAAUCCUCUCUCGCCCACCA
rnacentral:tRNA from 1 species